rnacentral:piRNA from 1 species
CCCAAUGUGAUGUGCAUACCUACGAAUGCUU